UACGUAGGGUGCAAGCGUUAAUCGGAAUUACUGGGCGUAAAGCGUGCGCAGGCGGUUCGGAAAGAAAGAUGUGAAAUCCCAGGGCUUAACCUUGGAACUGCAUUUUUAACUGCCGAGCUAGAGUAUGUCAGAGGGGGGUAGAAUUCCACGUGUAGCAGUGAAAUGCGUAGAGAUGUGGAGGAAUACCGAUGGCGAAGGCAGCCCCCUGGGAUAAUACUGACGCUCAUGCACGAAAGCGUGGGGAGCAAUCAGG
rnacentral:rRNA from 1 species